rnacentral:rRNA from 1 species
CGUAGGUGGCAAGCGUUGUCCGGAUUUACUGGGCGUAAAGAGCGCGCAGGCGGCCUGAUCAGUCGAAUGUGAAAGCCCCCGGCUCAACUGGGGAGGGUCAUUCGAUACUGUCAGGCUAGAAGGCAGGAGAGGGAAGUGGAAUUCCCGGUGUAGUGGUGAAAUGCGUAGAUAUCGGGAGGAACACCAGUGGCGAAGGCGACUUUCUGGCCUGUUCUUGACGCUGAGGCGCGAAAGCCAGGGGAGCGAACGGGAUUAGAUACCCCGGUAGUCCUGGCCGUAAACGAUGGACACUAGGUGUUGGUGGUAUCAACCCCGCCAGUGCCGUAGCUAACGCAUUAAGUGUCCCGCCUGGGGAGUACGGCCGCAAGGCUA